AGAGUUUGAUCCUGGCUCAGGACGAACGCUGGCGGUGUGUCUAAUAUAUGUAAGUGGAGCGACGAACCAGGUUUCGGUCUGGGGUAAAGUUGCGAAUGGGUGAGUAACACGUGGGUAACCUGCCCCGAUGAUUGGAACAACCCGAGGAAACUCGGGCUAAUACCGAAUGUGCCCUGCGACCAUAAGGUCGCUGGGGAAAGGAAGCUUCGGCCUUCGCAUCGGGAUGGGCCCGCGGCCCAUUAGCUUGUUGGUGAGGUAACGGCUCACCAAGGCGACGAUGGGUAGCUGGUCUGAGAGGACGAUCAGCCACACUGGGACUGAGACACGGCCCAGACUCCUACGGGAGGCAGCAGUGGGGAAUCUUGCGCAAUGCGCGAAAGCGUGACGCAGCAACGCCGCGUGGGGGAAGAAGGCCUUCGGGUUGUAAACCCCUUUCAGUUGGGACGAAGCUUCGUCGGUGAAUAGCCGGCUGGAGUGACGGUACCUUCAGAAGAAGCCCCGGCUAACUACGUGCCAGCAGCCGCGGUAAUACGUAGGGGGCAAGCGUUGUCCGGAAUCAUUGGGCGUAAAGAGCGUGUAGGCGGCCUGGUAAGUCCGCUGUGAAAGUCCAGGGCUCAACCCUGGAAUGCCGGUGGAAACUGUCAGGCUCGAGUCCGGAAGAGGCGAGUGGAAUUCCUGGUGUAGCGGUGAAAUGCGCAGAUAUCAGGAGGAACACCAAUGGCGAAGGCAGCUCGCUGGGACGGUACUGACGCUGAGACGCGAAAGCGUGGGGAGCAAACAGGAUUAGAUACCCUAGUAGUCC
rnacentral:rRNA from 1 species